AAAAAGGUAAGCUAAUUAAGCUAAUGGGUUCAUACCCCAUUUAUAGAGGUACCAACCCUCUCCUUUUUA
rnacentral:tRNA from 2 species